UACAGAGGGUGCAAGCGUUAAUCGGAAUUACUGGGCGUAAAGCGUGCGUAGUCGGUUAUUUAAGUCGGAUGUGAAAUCCCCGGGUUUAACCUGGGAACUGCGUUUGAAACUACAAGGCUAGAGUGUGGCAGAGGGGGGUGGAAUUCCACGUGUAGCAGUGAAAUGCGUAGAGAUGUGGAGGAACACCGAUGGCGAAGGCAGCCCCCUGGGUUAACACUGACGCUCAGGCACGAAAGCGUGGGGAGCAAACAGG
rnacentral:rRNA from 1 species